CGCGGCGUUGAAUCGCUGUUUCUCGUUGUCGUUCGCCAAACGACUAAAGAUUUGGUGAUCCAAGAGAGGCAAACACAAACGACGGAGUUGAUCGACGACGCGCCACGAGGCUGCUUAACGAGACGACUAAUUCGAACGUGUUAGAUCCACGAGGAGCGGUUGCAACGGUGGUAGUGGUGGUGGUGGCAACGUGUUCGAGUAGGAGUAGCUUGAGGAGAGGGGAGAGGAGGUCCGGUCCUCGCCACCCGCACUUAGCAGCCGGACAGCAAAGAAAGGGAAGGGAGAGGCGAACGGCCGGUCCUCGAAAACACGCAGACGACCCUGAGAAAGAAUUGAAUGGCACAAAACAGACAAUGAAUCUACACUUGCGUGGAACGCGCUUGCAUAUGGUGAAGGUUCGUUUCAGCUGACCAGGGUCGGACAUUGUCAUGUUAAUGAAUAGAAGACACAUUUUCAAGGCAAAACUUGCGCUUGUUCGUGGAUUGCAUGCUACGUAAUUACCUUAUACCUGAACAAAGUCGCGUAUAAUGUAAGCUGACACGAAGAUGAUGAGAUAACAGAGGAAGACGCAAUUUCACGUCGAACUUGAUUUUGAAAUGUACAUUCGACUGAAGGUUGAGUCAACUAAUCCAUUAGCCAUUAGCCUUCUUGUGCUUUGGCAUAACACAAAUUCGGAAAAGUAGAUAUACUAUACAGUCCAAUGUCUCUAAAUAACUUACAUUUUUGGAUGAUUCAUCCUAAUGUAUUUUAAUGGAAUAUUGAAGAGACAGGAAGUAAAUGAUGCAAAAUUAAAGCCAACAACUGAAUACUCGUAUAUCGAUACGGUAUUUGCGAUAUACCUAUCGCAUCAGUACUGAGUUACAAUUGUUAGAAUCCAAUGGUUGCCUUAAAUGCACAGGAAACAAGAAUCGCUGCAAACGAUUAUCUCUUUCAACUGAUUCAAGCUUUUUAACGACAAAGAUUUCUUAUAAUCUAUAAUCUAUAACCUCCUAUAACCUCCAUUUCAUACUGAAGAAAAGUGUAAUAAUUAUCUCAACAAUAUACAUACCGAGAAUUAACCAAGAAAUAUCCCACAAAAACAUCCUCGAAGCAUUCGGAGCAGCAAGUAGUAUUCGAAAAACACUAAAUUGAUCCGCAACUAUCGAUCAACGACCUCAAAGAAAAAUCCGUUGCUUAUUCUCACGAUCGAAGCAAAUUAUUAACCAUCGAACCGGUUAACAAGAUGAAGAGGAACCCGAGCAACACACGACACUCUCGUGCAAGAUAUAACUUGUAAGAACACGUCACUCAUCUAGAAGAGGCGACGACGACGGUUCGUUACUCUGGCUUUCUGGGAAACUUCUUGGAGGUCAUGACUAAUCCAUUCUGCGGCGGAGGAAACGGCGUUGAUGUCUCUACGAACGACGAUUAUGAAGACGUACGAUUUAAGAGAAUAUACAGUCGCCUUGGGAAAUAAGUUAACGCUCCCGCUAAAAGUUUAAAUGUAAGACCGUUAACUUACUUUCCGAGGCGAUUGUGUAUACUUCGUAUGUCGUAAAUUGCUGUAAAUUGCAGCGAAGAAGGUUCUAUAGGUGAAGAUAAGUAGAAAUUGGAGAGUAACGAAAUCGCGUUGAAGAUGUUAUUUUCGAGAAAAAUACAAGGUAUCUCAUUUUAAUCUAUUCGUGCAAUUAUAUUAUCUUCCUAGUUCCAAACUAUUCAUUAUUCGAAAAAAUAUUUUACGUGAAACUUACUUUGUUCCGUGGGGAACAUCUUGUGACGGUCACAAGAUUUACCUAGGUGGACGUGCCUUUGAGGUUUCAAAGAGGCUUUCGUUCUUUUUUAAAUAGACCUAUACAUGUUUUGUACGCCAUUCGAUGCACGUUUUAAUUCUUUACAAGAAAAUAUUAAGAUGCUUGAAUCGAUAAAUGAUUAAUUUAAAAGUCAUUUUAACUGUAAUAUCGCUAAACUUAUCGUAUGGAAUAUAAGGAAAACAUAAGCAAGAAAGCACCACGUUGUCUUACCUUCUCUUUUAGACGAUAAGUUUUACAACAAAGUAAGUUUUACGUGAAAAAUGUAAUGCUCUAGGACAUGCUUCGAAUAAUGAAUAGUUUAGAACGCAGGAGUUUAGGAGAUAAUUACGUAGAUAGAUUAAAGUAAGACAGCAUGUAUAUCUCAAAAUCAGCCGGGUAUAACAGGUAGAAAUCCAUUUAUCUGAAUUCAUCGAAAAAAUGAUACAUUCAUUUUGUAAUAUUAUAUUUCUUCUUUUAUUAAGCUUCCUUUGUCUUAAAAAUAUUUAGUCGUUAUUUUCUAACAGCUAGUGCACCUAAAACAAGUUCAUCUAUCUGAACAUCUGGAGAAGAUCAUAUACUUAAUUUUGCCAUACUUCUUCUAUUACUAAUCAGUUUCCCCUUCAAGUAUUACAUUGUUACCCAAUAAUGCGCCAUACAUCGAUGUUACGAAAUCAAGUCGUAAAUACAUCUU